rnacentral:misc_RNA from 1 species
AAUGACCAAUACCAUUGUUUAAAACCCUAACCUAGCAUCUAAUCUUCCCCACAUGCAAUGCAACUAAAUGCAAAAAGGCCCAUGCUUUAGUAGAGUUGUUUGGCUAGGGAUGGCAAUGGAGGGCAGGGAUCAGGGUUUUAAAUAACAGUUGAAAAUGGUGUCAUGGAAUUGGAAUGAAUCAAACUGAAUUUGACAAAAUCAGCUGCAGCCAUGGUUUUAACUAACAGUCAUAAUGUAAUGUGACAACCGUUAAAUAUAGGUUUUAAGUUGUAGAGGGCCUUUACCAUGAUAUAUGUGAAAUAACGACCGAAAAAAUUUGCAGGCGUAACAACCAUUAUGUCCAUUACAUAACAGUUAUGGUCGUUACUGGCCAUUAAGUAACAUGUAAUAGCUGUUACUCACCUGUCCUUUUUCUGUUGAAGCAAGAGGCAGAGAGCUUAUUUCUUUAGUUUCUAUUAAGAACUAAGUAACAUGAGUAUAUAACUCAUAGGAUCAAAACAGGAUAGAUGAAAUGGUAUGCAAUGGGUGUGCUAUG